UGGUUUGAAUUCUUGUUGUUUGAAUUUGCUAGGAGAUUCAAAUUUGAAUCAUCCUUCUUUGAGUUUUAAUUCCUUUUUCCUAUAUUUUACAAGUGACAUUCAAAUGGGUUUUGUUUUAAACCUUUAACCCCAUUUGAAUAUUUCCAAAUACUAGUACCAUAUUGAAUUCUCCUACUUCUCAGCUUUUCAAAAUGAUAUUUAAAAUUUGAAUCCAAAAACUAUUUGCAAAAACAGAAAACAGAAAAAGAAAAGGAAGAAGAAAAAAAAAACUCACCUGCUUACCUUAGGCCCGAACCGGCCCAGCAGCCGCCUCGGCCCACCUCCUCGCGCGUGCCGCAGCCCCGCAGCGCAGGCCGCGGCCCAACUCCACCGCACGCCGCCCGCAGUGCGCUUCCCCAUGUUGAAGGCGUAUUUCGCGAAAUGCGCGUUCUCUCACAGCGUCGUCUUCCUCCUCUGCUUUUCUCCUUCCCGACCGGUGGAGCCCCCGCGCCAUGUCAACGUCAACAGCGACAGGGAGAGCUCCGCGUCCCUACUUAAGCUGCGCCGCGCCUCCUUCCUUCCCCAGCGCCAAGAAAACCCUAGCUAGGGUUUCCUCUCCCUCCUUCUGCGCCGCCGCCGUCGCUUUCCUCCAAGCCG
rnacentral:lncRNA from 1 species